CCUACGGGUGGCAGCAGUGGGGGAUAUUGCACAAUGGGGGAAACCCUGAUGCAGCGACGCCGCGUGAGUGAAGAAGUAUUUCGGUAUGUAAAGCCCUAUCAGCAGGGAAGAAAAUGACGGUAUCUGACUAUGAAGCCCCGGCUCACUACAUGCCCGCAGCCGCGGUAAUACGUAGGGGGCAAGCGUUAUCCGGAUUUACUGGGUGUAAAGGGAGCGUAGACGGCACGACAAGUCAGAAGUGAAAGCCCAGGGCUCAACCCUGGGACUGCAUUUGAAACUCCCGGGCUGGAGUGCAGGAGAGGUAGGCGGAAUUCCUAGUGUAGCGGUGAAAUGCGUAGAUAUUAGGAGGAACACCGGUGGCGAAGGCGGCUUACUGGACUGUAACUGACGUUGAGGCUCGAAAGCGUGGGGAGCAAACAGGAUUAGAUACCCCUGUAGUC
rnacentral:rRNA from 1 species